GAUUCCGUAGUGUAGUGGUUAUCACGUGUGCCUUACACGCACAAGGGCCCCGGUUCGAGCCCGGGUGGAAUCA
rnacentral:tRNA from 1 species